CGAUGGAAUGGAACCUCAAACUCUUCAACUCGUCUCCCAAUGCUUCCUCAACACUCUCUCUCAAGCACCCGAGCCUCGCCACCGCGCCGAAUCCUCCCUAGUUGAAGCAGCCGAUCUUCCAAACUUCUACCUCGUCUUACUCCGUCUUGUCCUCGAACAAGCUGUUGGUGAGCAGAUCCAUUAAUCCACCGUCGUCAACUUAAAAAACCACCUCCGUCUCCGAUGGGUGUUAAAAGACAGUUCGAUCCUUGAUUUCAAGAUGGAACAGAUCAAAAUCCCAAUCGUCUCUCUAAUGCUCUCCGCUACUCCCAAAAUCCAAUCUCAGUUUAGUGAAACCCUAGCUAUCGUUGACAACCAUGAUUUCUCCAAAUCAUGGCCAUCGCUCUACCUGAACUCGUCGUCUAUCUCCAAAAUGCAUCUCAAGUUAACAAAUACGCUUCCAUUAAUGGUAUUCUAGGUACGAGACAAACCUUCGCAUAAAAGCUGAGUCUCAUGCUGCCUCAGUUGAAGAGAAAGAAGCAUCUUUAGAAGGUAGGUUAGGCCAGCUUUCAGAGAGCAUAGAGAGAGUGAAUAAAAUAGAGUUCAGGAUGAUAAUUCACAACUAAAAAGUGACUCAGAGUUUUCUAUUUCUAAAUAAAUGCAAAUGCAGCUUGAACAAGUGGAAUGCAAGCUAAUAAUGCAGAGAUAGAAGUAGAGCUGCUAAAAGAGCAACUGGAACAUCUUAAGGACCAAUUCAAUGAGCUUUGCGUGUGUUGGUUCUAUUUGGUGGUGCUACAAAAUGGAUCCUUCCAUGCAGACACUUCAGAGGAUUUUAGGUGAAUGACAUUUUUACAUUUCUUCGCAUUUUAUCACCUAAUGGCUGGUCAAACUCUGAAAACAUUGCUAAUAUUGACUCCUACGUAAAGGGUUUGUUAGUUGAAUGAUCAAAUUUGGUUUGAAUUGAGUUUGUAUGUAUUAGUAUGAGGAUGGUUAAGGUGAAAAUGUAAAAUGCAAUUUAUCAUUCUUGUAUAUUGUCAAUUUUAUUUUUCCUUAUAGCUGAUUGUGUACAGUUCUAUUGAUCCUUAUGCAGUUUAUAAUUCAAAUUAUUGUCAAUAAUAUUUACAAUUGUGCUUGUAGAUUCUUAUAUAUCAUGUGCUAAUGGAAGUGCUAUCAUGAAUGCAUGACAAUUGACACUUAGUAUUUGCUCUUAUUUGAAACCUGUGUUUGUAUAUGGGAGUUAAUUGAAUUGUAGAUCAUACACAUAGUUGUUGGAUGUGUGUCCAUUAAAAAGUCUUUUUUUAAUUCAUGUUUUCAUGCUCAUUUCAAUAGGAUAUGGAUGCUUCUAAUGUUCCAAACGAGAAAAAAUUUCGAAGUUCAUGUCCGGAUGAAGAUUGAAGAGAGGAAGAUUAAAGGCUUCUUUUAUCUUAGAUAUGCGUUUUUUUUUAUUUUAAAUUUUUUGUAACAUCUAUUUUGGUGCUUUUAUCUUUUAGACAAAAUCUCGUUUUUUUCGUUAUUUUGAUACAUUUGUAAGGCUUACUAUUUUGACAAUAUAAUUGAAAAUUUAUUUGACGUUACUUUAAAUUUUGUGUGAUGCAUAUAGAAAAUAUUGCCAAAUUUUGAUUAUUAAAAAAUAUAAAUUAUAGGAAUUAAAUAAUUGUAAAAAAACAGAGACAUAUAUACCAACACUUAAUUUCACCUAUACCAACGGAAAUACAUGGUGGAUAAAACUAUUAAAUAGUGUAAUUGACCGUUGCUAUAGCCUUAAAAUUUUGACCAACGCCACAAAAUCGCCGUUGGUAUAAGAUAUUGGGACGGUAAUUUUCCGACGGUAUAGGAAAUUAUAGUUGACGGAAACAAACGUCCGUUGGUAUAGGUUUUCUGACUUUUACCAACGGUUUUUGGACCUUUACCAACUGAUUUUUACCGUUGGUAAAUGUCA